GAUGAACGCUGGCGGUAUGCUUAACACAUGCAAGUCGAACGGUCACUUCGGUGAUAGUGGCGGACGGGUGAGUAACGCGUGAGAAUCUGUCUUCAGGUCGGGGACAACAGUUAGAAAUGACUGCUAAUACCGGAUGUGCCUUUGGGUGAAAGAUUUAUUGCCUGAAAAAGAGCUCGCGUCAGAUUAGCUAGUAGGUGGUGUAAGAGACUACCUAGGCUCCGAUCUGUAGCUGGUCUGAGAGGACGAUCAGCCACACUGGAACUGAGACACGGUCCAGACUCCUACGGGAGGCAGCAGUGGGGAAUGUUCCGCAAUGGGCGAAAGCCUGAAGGACCAAUACCGGGUGAGGGACGAAGGCUUUUGGGUCGUAAAUCUCCUUUAUCAAGGAAGAUGAUGACGGUACUUGAGGAAGAAGCAUCGGCUAACUCUGU
rnacentral:rRNA from 1 species